CGCAGAAGAUGUAGCCGUACAGCGCCGACAUGACUAACAGCGGAGUCAGGAUGCAGAGGAAGAAGUUGAAAUACACCAGCGACCAAAAUAUUCCAAACAACUGUCAGUAUGACGCUUACCUGCGCGGGACGUACACCCGGAGAAAGCGGUCCAGCGAAAUAGCCAAGAGGGAUAAAAUGGACACCAGGGUCAACAGGAUGACCACACAGCUGAUGAAGAGGCAGGCGCCAAAGGACGUGCUCACCCUGCCGUCCACCAGCACGGCCAGCGGGAUGGCCACGAGGCCCACCGCGCAAUCAGCCGCCGCCAGCGACACGAUCAGACAGAAGGUGGCCUGCCCGACACUUUUGGUUGUCUGCACAGCCACGAUGACCAGGGCGUUUCCCACAAUGCAGCAGAUGGCUACGAGCACCUCCAACGAAGCGUAGACCACCUCGCCCGUGUGCAUCCUAUCUUCUCUGUGGCUCGCUCCACAAGCACACUGAUGCAAUGUAUCUCGACCUUGAAUUUGUUGGAGGAAGUCAUGUGUGCUUCUUUCUAUUCCUGUUAAGACUGACACUUUGACACUUUUGCAGCGUCAGGAAGCAGCCCUUGUUUUGUUUCUUUCAAUGAGUGCUGUGCACGAGCAAACGACAGACGGAAUGGUCAUUUGUCCCAACGCUGUUUUCCACACAGUGUUGUUUGUCUUGUGUGAUUCAUUUUAGGAAAACCCACAUAGAGAUAGAUAUGUAUAGGAAAUCAACCACAACCUCAACAAAAAAAGCCUCAACUUCCGCUUGUGUGUAAGUGCUACUUUCAGAUCUGAUGAUGCCUUUUCUUUCAGGUAUACUUCUCCACAGAGCGCAUCACGUGCUACUUUCACAAUUACUCACAGAGGACUACUUGACAUGUAUAGCAAACAGAUGUGUCAUCACUAAUGAUGUGCCGCCUGAAUGAAAAGGAACGUUUGCCUUAUUAAUAUCGAGGAGGACAAAAAUGUAGGUGUACAAUUAAACGCAGCUUUA